UCAAGCAGAAAGGGCACAGGGCGGAUGCCUUGGCACUAAGGGCCGAAGAAAGACGUGAUAAGCUGCGAUAAGCUUCGGGGAGGAGCAAAUAUCCAUUGAUCCGGAGAUCUCUGAAUGGGGAAACCCACAUGAGGAAACCUCAUGUAUCCAUACGCCAAUCCAUAACGUAUGGAGGGGAACCCGGGGAACUGAAACAUCUAAGUACCCGGAGGAAAAGAAAGAAAACUCGAUUCCGUAAGUAGCGGCGAGCGAACGCGGAGGAGCCUAAACCAGUGUGCGUGCACGCUGGGGUUACGGACUGCAUUUAAGAUUCUGUAAAGCUAGCAGAACGGUUUUGGGAAAGCCGGCCGGAGAGGGUGAGAGCCCCGUACGCGAAAGCAGAGCAGACUGAGCAGGAUCCAGAGUACCGCGGGACACGAGAAACCCUGCGGGAAGUGAGGGGGACCACCCCCUAAGGCUAAAUACCACUUAGUGACCGAUAGCGCAUAGUACUGUGAAGGAAAGGUGAAAAGGACCCCGGGAGGGGAGUGAAAGAGAACCUGAAACCCUGUGUCUACAAGCUGUGGAAGUGCUUUAUAUGCACGACCGCGUACUUUUUGUAGAACGGUCCGGCGAGUUGCGCUUACUGGCAAGGUUAAGGUCUUAAGGACCGGAGCCGUAGGGAAACCAAGUCUUAAGAGGGCCAGAGUCAGUGAGGGCAGACCCGAAACCGGGUGAUCUAUCCAUGUCCAGGUUGAAGCUGCCGUAAGAGGCAGUGGAGGACCGAACCCACAUCCGUUGAAAAGGGUGGGGAUGAGGUGUGGAUAGGGGAGAAAUUCCAAUCGAACCCGGAGAUAGCUGGUUCUCCUCGAAAUAGCUUUAGGGCUAGCCUCGGUAGAGAUUAGCGGAGGUAGAGCACUGAAUUUCCUAGGGGGCGUCAAAGCCUACCGAAGAAUAUCAAACUCCGAAUGCCGCAGAAUUGCUUACCGGGAGUCAGACUGCACGAGAUAAGUUGGGCAGUCGAAAGGGAAAGAGCCCAGACCUUCAGUUAAGGUCCCAAAGUGCGCGUUAAGUGGAAAAGGAUGUGGGAUUUCAAAGACAACCAGGAUGUUGGCUCAGAAGCAGCCAUCCAUUCAAAGAGUGCGUAAUAGCUCACUGGUCGAGAGGUCCUGCGCCGAAAAUGUCCGGGGCUGAAACGCGCCACCGAAACUAAGGAAUCAGAAAUGAUUGGUAGAGGAGCAUUGCAUGCGGGGCGAAGCAGUACCGUAAGGAGCUGUGGACUGCAUGGAAGAGAGAAUGCCGGAAUGAGUAGCGAGAAUAAGGUGAGAAUCCUUAUGGCCGAAUAUCCAAGGUUUCCAGGGUAAAGCUGAUCUGCCCUGGGUAAGUCGGGGCCUAAGGCGAGGACGAGAGUCGUAGCCGAUGGACAACAGGUGGAGAUUCCUGUACUGCGGUAUAACAGAACUGUGGGGACACGUGCAGAAAGCGGGAGCCGGGAAUGGAAAGCCCGGUGCAAGUGAGGUACCAGACACAUUGGCAAAUCCGUGUGUCAAUGGGAAGACACGACGCGGACCGAAAGAAAGUAGGGAAGCCCGUGAGCUGUGCGUCAAGAAAAGCCGCUAUAGUUUAUACCGUACCCGUACCGUAAACCGACACAGGUGGAUGAGGAGAGAAUCCUAAGGCCGGCGGAAGAAGCAUUGUCAAGGAACUCGGCAAAAUGACCCCGUAACUUCGGGAGAAGGGGUGCCAGGGAGACCUGGCCGCAGAGAAUAGGCUCAAGCAACUGUUUAGCAAAAACACAGGUCUAUGCGAAACCGAAAGGUGAGGUAUAUGGGCUGACGCCUGCCCGGUGCUGGAAGGUUAAGAGGAGAGGUUAGCGCAAGCGAAGCUUUGAAUUUAAGCCCCAGUAAACGGCGGCCGUAACUAUAACGGUCCUAAGGUAGCGAAAUUCCUUGUCGGGUAAGUUCCGACCCGCACGAAAGGCGUAAUGAUUUGAGCGCUGUCUCGACAAUGCAUCCGGUGAAAUUGAAGUACCAGUGAAGAUGCUGGUUACCUGCGCCAGGACGGAAAGACCCCAUGGAGCUUUACUCCAGUUUGGUACUGGGAUCCGGUGCUGCAUGUACAGGAUAGGUGGGAGACUGAGAACACA
rnacentral:rRNA from 1 species